rnacentral:sRNA from 2 species
UUUUAGCCCUGAUAGCAGCGGCAUCCUUUUUUGUGUUAUUUAAUAGGACUAAACGUAGGUUGAAGAAAAAGGUUUAAGAUGAAGAGAAACUUUAAGGCUACCUACAAAAAAGAUAUAGCGGAUAGCAGGAAAUAGC